GACGAACGCUGGCGGCGUGCUUAACACAUGCAAGUCGAACGAAGAGCGAUGGAAGCUUGCUUCUAUCACUCUUAGUGGCGAACGGGUGAGUAACGCGUAAUCAACCUGCCCUUCAGAGGGGGACAACAGUUGGAAACGACUGCUAAUACCGCAUACGAUCUAAUCUCGGCAUCGAGGAUAGAUGAAAGGUGGCCUCUACAUGUAAGCUAUCACUUCAGGAGGGGAUUGCGUCUGAUUAGCUAGUUGGAGGGGUAACGGCCCACCAAGGCGAUGAUCAGUAGCCGGUCUGAGAGGAUGAACGGCCACAUUGGGACUGAGACACGGCCCAGACUCCUACGGGAGGCAGCAGUGGGGAAUCUUCCGCAAUGGACGAAAGUCUGACGGAGCAACGCCGCGUGAGUGAUGACGGCCUUCGGGUUGUAAAGCUCUGUUAAUCGGGACGAAAGGCCUUCUUGCGAAUAGUGAGAAGGAUUGACGGUACCGGAAUAGAAAGCCACGGCUAACUACGUG
rnacentral:rRNA from 1 species